GAUGAACGCUGGCGGUAUGCUUAACACAUGCAAGUCGAACGGACUCUUCGGAGUUAGUGGCGGACGGGUGAGUAACGCGUGAGAAUCUGGCUUUGGGUUCGGGACAACCACUGGAAACGGUGGCUAAUACCGGAUGUGCCGUGAGGUAAAAGAGAAAUUGCCUGAAGAUGAGCUCGCGUCUGAUUAGCUAGUUGGUAAGGUAAAGGCUCACCAAGGCAGCGAUCAGUAGCUGGUCUGAGAGGAUGACCAGCCAGACUGGGACUGAGACACGGCCCAGACUCCUACGGGAGGCAGCAGUGGGGAAUAUUGGACAAGGGGCGAAAGCAUGAUCCAGCAAUGCAGGGUGAGUGAUGAAGGCAUUAGGGUUGUAAAGCUCUUUUACCCGGGAUGAUAAUGACAGUACCGGGAGAAUAAGCGCCGGCUAACUCCGUG
rnacentral:rRNA from 1 species